GGAGUUGGGCUUAACGCUUUAUAAAGCUGCUCUGUCCGCGGCGAGCCACUCUUCUAAAGACCACCGUGCCCGAAACUUCACUUUCCAACAAGACACGCAGUGAGAGCAGGGAGGGAAACUUCUGCAUUACUGUCCAUCAUGAGCGAGAGACAAACAUCUGGAGCUGCUGCUGGCAACAAUAAGACUUCUGGAGGACAAGGGGAAACAAACUGUUGGUGCGGGGAAGAGGAGCUUGGAGUUUACAGUAUAGGAUGGUUUUAGAAGACAGAUGACAGUAGAUGGACAGCAACAAGGAGAGAAGGACAUGCAGAAAGACACAAAUUCACCUCAGGCUUUCCAUCAGAUGCGCUCUUACAAGAGUUCAGGGAAUGAUGUCAUCAUAUAUGACAUGGAGAACAUUUGAUAAAUGUCAGAGAUUAUGUGAUUUUUAUCAAAUUAUUCCUCAUGUGAUAUCCUUUAAGAUCAUCCCACCUGAUCUUGAGAUCUGCAGUUGCUCAUUAUUCAAAACAAUUUAAUAAUCUCU
ensembl:lncRNA